rnacentral:rRNA from 1 species
AUGCAACGCUGGCGGCGUGCCUAACACAUGCAAGUCGACGCGGUAGCCUCGCAGGGGGCAACUCGGAGUGAGGCGACGGGUGAGUAACACGUGGGUAACCUGACCUUCGGAAGUGGGGGAAUACGUCCGGGAAAGGACGCUAAUACCGCAUGACAUCUUCGGGCCUUGAAAGUCCUGACGAUCAAAGCUGGGGAUCGCAAGAUCCUCGCGCUUGACCGGAGGGGCCCGCGUCCGAUUAGCUAGUUGGUGAGGUAAGCGGCUCACCAAGGCUUCGAUCGGUAACCGGCCUGAUGAGGGCGAUCGGUCCACACUGGACUGAGACACGGUCCAGGACUCCUACGGGAGGCAGCAGUGGGGAAUCUUGCGCAAUGGGCGAAAGCCUGACGACGCAACGCCGCGUUGGAGGAUGAAGGCCCUUCGGGUUGUAAACUCCUGUUCGGCCUGGGACGAAAUCGUACGGGCUCCUACCUACCGUCGGAGUGUGACUGUACCGGUGAAGGAAGCCCCGGCUAACUCUGUGCCAGCAGCCGCGGUAAUACAGAGGGGGCAAGCGUUAUUCGGAAUUACUGGGCGUAAAGGGCGCGUAGGCGGCCAUGCCAGGUCUACGUGAAAUCCCCGGCUCAACCUGGGAACGUGCGGCAGAUAAACUGCAAGGCUCGAGUCGGGAGAGGGGGUGCGGAAUUCCCAGUGUAGCGGUGAAAUGCGUAGAUAUCUGGAGGAACACCGGUGGCGAAGGCGGCAUCCUGGACCGGAUAUUGACGCUGAUGCGCGAAAGCCGUGGGUAGCAAAGCGGGAUUAGAUAACCCCGGUAGUCACUGCCCGUAAACGAUGAGGCAUUGGUGUGGCGGGUAUCGAUCCCUGCCGGUGCCGAAGCUAACGCAUUAAGGCAUUCCGCCUGGGGAGUACGGUCGCAAGGCUGAAACUCAAAGGAAUUGACGGGGGGCCCGCACAAGCGGUGGAGCAUGUGGUUAAUUCGACGCAACGCGAAGAACCUUACCAGGCUUCGAACGCAUCAGUGGACAUCCUACGGGGGAAAGUAGGCUUCCCGCAAGGGCAGGUGGUCUAGGGUGCUGCAUGGCUGUCGUCAGCUCGUGUCGUGAGAUGUUGGGUUAAGUCCCGCAACGAGCGCAACCCUUGUCUGCUAGUUGCCAUACGGUUAGGCCGGGCACUCUAGGAGGACUGCCGGUGACAAACCGGAGGAAGGUGGGGAUGACGUCAAGUCCAGCAUGGCCUUUAUGUCAUGGGGCUACACACGUGCUACAAUGGCCGGUACAAAGCCGUACGCGAAUCUCGCAGAGUCGAGCUAAUCGCAAAAAACCGGUCUCAGUUCGGAUUGGUAGGUCUGCAACUCGACCUGCAUGAAGCUUAGGAAUCGCUAGUAAUCGCGGAUCAGCACGCCGCGGUGAAUACGUUCCCGGGCCUUGUACACACCGCCCGUCACAUCACGAAAGCUGGCUGUACCUAGAAGUCGGCUGUCCUAACCCGUAAGGGGGAGCAGGUCCCUAAGGUAUGGUCAGUGAAUUGGGGG